UACGAAGGGUGCAAGCGUUACUCGGAAUUACUGGGCGUAAAGCGUGCGUAGGUGGUUUGUUAAGUCUGCUGUGAAAGCCCCGGGCUCAACCUGGGAAUGGCAGUGGAUACUGGCAAGCUAGAGUGCGAUAGAGGGGUGUGGAAUUCCCGGUGUAGCGGUGAAAUGCGUAGAGAUCGGGAGGAACACCAGUGGCGAAGGCGGCACCCUGGAUCAGCACUGACACUCAGGCACGAAAGCGUGGGGAGCAAACGGG
rnacentral:rRNA from 1 species